UGAAUCUUCGAGGGUAUUCAACCAUUGAUAAGUUUCCCUGAGUAAGUUGCAUGAAUUCCAAUUUUUUUCGGUGUUGGAGUCAUGUUGGAAAGUACUCGGCGUUGAAUGCCCCCAGAAAUCUCUCUCAGGUGAUGCGAAUAGGUAAUGUAGUAUGUCUCAAUUCCCACCAACGAUCAGUUUCGCCCACAAACAAAUGUGUAGCCAGGAUCACUUUCUGUUCAGAAGUCACUCCCAAAAUUCAGAAUACCUUUUCAAUUUCUUUUAACCAUCCUUUAGCUUCAAUAAAAAUCUUGGUACCAGCAAAUGUAGGAGGAUGGAGUCUCAGGAACUUUCUAUGACAGUCUGGAUCCAUAAUGAUUUAUUCUGGAUUAUAUGGAGCCGGUAUUGGAGGAGGGCCAGGUAUCCUUUCUCUGAGCUGGUUAACAAGCUCCUCUAUCAUGUGGUAUAACCGGUCAAUAUGCUCUUGUAAGGACAUAUAAUCAGGAGGUUGCUCCGAUGGAGUCUGUCCACGUCUCAUCU
rnacentral:lncRNA from 1 species